rnacentral:rRNA from 1 species
AACGAACGCUGGCGGCAUGCCUAACACAUGCAAGUCGAACGAGACCUUCGGGUCUAGUGGCGCACGGGUGCGUAACGCGUGGGAACCUGCCCUUAGGUUCGGAAUAACUCCCCGAAAGGGGUGCUAAUACCGGAUAAUGUCUUCGGACCAAAGAUUUAUCGCCUUUGGAUGGGCCCGCGUUGGAUUAGCUAGUUGGUAGGGUAAAAGCCUACCAAGGCGACGAUCCAUAGCUGGUCUGAGAGGAUGAUCAGCCACACUGGGACUGAGACACGGCCCAGACUCCUACGGGAGGCAGCAGUGGGGAAUAUUGGACGAUGGGCGAAAGCCUGAUCCAGCAAUGCCGCGUGAGUGAUGAAGGCCUUAGGGUUGUAAAUCUCUUUUACCCGGGAUGAUAAUGACAGUACCGGGAGAAUAAGCUCCGGCUAACUCCGUG